rnacentral:rRNA from 1 species
AUUGAACGCUGGCGGCAGGCUUAACACAUGCAAGUCGAGCGGAGAGAGGUAGCUUGCUACUGAUCUUAGCGGCGGACGGGUGAGUAAUGCUUAGGAAUCUGCCUAUUAGUGGGGGACAACAUUUCGAAAGGAAUGCUAAUACCGCAUACGUCCUACGGGAGAAAGCAGGGGAUCUUCGGACCUUGCGCUAAUAGAUGAGCCUAAGUCGGAUAGCUAGUUGGUGUGGUAAAGGCCUACCAAGGCGACGAUCUGUAGCGGGUCUGAGAGGAUGAUCCGCCACACUGGGACUGAGACACGGCCCAGACUCCUACGGGAGGCAGCAGGGGGGAAUAUUGGACAAUGGGCGGAAGCCUGAUCCAGCCAUGCCGCGUGUGUGAAGAAGGCCUUAUGGUUGUAAAGCACUUUAAGCGAGGAGGAGGCUACUUUAGUUAAUACCUAGAGAUAGUGGACGUUACUCGUAGAAUAAGCACCGGCUAACUCUGUGCCAGCCGCCGCGGUAA